ACUACGGUCUUACCAACAUGGACACACCUGAUCUCGGAAGCUAUGCAUGGCCGGGCCUGGUUAGUACUUGGAAGGGAGACCGCCUGGGAAUACCAGGUGAUGUAAGUG
rnacentral:rRNA from 10 species